UACGUAGGGUGCGAGCGUUGUCCGGAAUUAUUGGGCGUAAAGAGCUCGUAGGCGGCCUGUUGCGUCGGUUGUGAAAGCCCGGGGCUUAACCCCGGGUCUGCAGUCGAUACGGGCAGGCUAGAGUUCGGUACGGGAGAUCGGAAUUCCUGGUGUAGCGGUGAAAUGCGCAGAUAUCAGGAGGAACACCGGUGGCGAAGGCGGAUCUCUGGGCCGAUACUGACGCUGAGGAGCGAAAGCGUGGGGAGCGAACAGG
rnacentral:rRNA from 1 species